AAAAUUCGUCGAGGGAGAGAACCGCGGCCCGUUCGAUUUCACGUUGGAAAAGCGAAUGGGACGUUGCAUCGUAUUAAUAGUAAUGUCGCAUGAACGUCAUGGGGGUAGCGUUGCGGUUUACAUUCACUCGGCUAACCCCUAACCAUUACGCGUGACGUAACCUAACAUCCUAUUAUUGUUAUACGUAGAGAUGCACAGAGUGGUACACGAUUAUGCAUAUAACCGUGCACGGUCUCCGUUAUUGACGGACAAUUACUGUUUAUCGUUCGCAAACGCCACUAUCUUAAUCAGUUUCGUUGUUACUCAACCGUUUGCUCGUCUUCCAUCUUCGAGAAUACAAGAUAACCAGAAUAGAAGCGAAUGGAAACGAAUCAACUUCGUUACAUCAUCGUAUAGAAUAUAUAGAAAUCUUUUGCGACUUUUCGUUUCGUCGAAAUAAAAUUAUUUUAAACAUUUCGUUCCCAACUUCCUUCUAAAU